CGCCGUUUAAUUUCCCGCCAACCGGGAUCAAGCCUCCCCCCUGUGUCGUUGUACCUUUGUUGCUUUGGCGGGCCGCGGGGCCCCGGCCCUGCCCCCGGCUCCGGCUGGGGCGCGCCCGCCAGAGGACCUCAAAACCUGAAUGUUAGUGUCGUCUGAGUGCUAUACAAUAGUUAAAACUUUCAACAACGGAUCUCUUGGUUCUGGCAUCGAUGAAGAACGCAGCGAAAUGCGAUAAGUAAUGUGAAUUGCAGAAUUCAGUGAAUCAUCGAAUCUUUGAACGCACAUUGCGCCCCUUGGUAUUCCGGGGGGCAUGCCUGUUCGAGCGUCAUUACAACCCUCAAGCUCUGCUUGGUCUUGGGCGUCACCGGUCCCCGGUGUGCCUUAAAAUCAGUGGCGGCGCCAUCUGGCUCUAAGCGUAGUACAUCCUCUUUUCUACAGACGCCCGGUGGAUGCUGGCCAGCAACCCCCCAUUCUAUCAAGGUUGACCUCGGAUCAGGUAGGGAUACCCGCUGAACUUAAGCAUAUCAAUAAGCGGAGGAA
rnacentral:rRNA from 1 species